rnacentral:rRNA from 1 species
UACGUAGGGUCCGAGCGUUGUCCGGAAUUACUGGGCGUAAAGAGCUCGUAGGUGGUUUGUCGCGUUGUUCGUGAAAACUCACAGCUUAACUGUGGGCGUGCGGGCGAUACGGGCAGACUAGAGUACUGCAGGGGAGACUGGAAUUCCUGGUGUAGCGGUGGAAUGCGCAGAUAUCAGGAGGAACACCGGUGGCGAAGGCGGGUCUCUGGGCAGUAACUGACGCUGGAGGAGCGAAAAGCGUGGGGAGCGAACAGG